rnacentral:rRNA from 1 species
AUUGAACGCUAGCGGGAUGCUUUACACAUGCAAGUAGAACGAGUGGCGGACGGGUGAGUAAUAUAUCGAAACGUGCCCAGUAGCGGGGAAUAACUACUCGAAAGCGUGGCUAAUACCGCAUACUAAUGGAGCGGCCGUUAUCGGAUUAGCGAGUUGGUGGGGUAAAGGCUCACAAAGGCAACGAUCCGUAGCGGGUUUGAGAGGACGACCAGCCACACUGGGACGGAGACACGGCCCAGACUCCUCCGGGAGGCAGUGGUGGGGAAUGUUGGAGAAUGGGGGAAACCCUGAUCCAGCCAUCCCGCGUGUAUGAGAAGGCCUUCGGGUUGUAAAGUACUUUUGGCAGAGAAGCGGUAUCUGCAGAAUAAGCACCGGCUAACUACGUGCCAGCCGCCGCGGUAAUAC